rnacentral:rRNA from 1 species
GACAGAGGGUGCAAACGUUGCUCGGAAUCACUGGGCGUAAAGGGCGCGUGGGCGGACAAGUAAGUCGGGCGUGAAAUCCCUAGGCUCAACCUAGGAACUGCACUCGAAACUGCAUGUCUUGAGUACCGGAGAGGAAAGCGGAAUACCUGGUGUAGAGGUGAAAUUCGUAGAUAUGGGGAGGAACACCGGUGGCGAAGGCGGCCACCUGGACGGAUACUGACGCUGAGACGCGAAAGCGUGGGGAGCAAACAGG